CAGCCGCCACGGUAAUACGUAGGGUGCAAGCGUUAAUCGGAAUUACUGGGCGUAAAGCGCACGCAGGCGGUCUGUCAAGUCAGAUGUGAAAUCCCCGGGCUUAACCUGGGAACUGCAUUUGAAACUGGCAGGCUAGAGUCUUGUAGAGGGGGGUAGAAUUCCAGGUGUAGCGGUGAAAUGCGUAGAGAUCUGGAGGAAUACCGGUGGCGAAGGCGGCCCCCUGGACAAAGACUGACGCUCAGGUGCGAAAGCGUGGGGAGCAAACAGGAUUAGAUACCCCCUGUAGUCCCUGUCUCUUAUU
rnacentral:rRNA from 1 species